AUUGAACGCUGGCGGCAUGCUUUACACAUGCAAGUCGAACGGCAGCGCGGGCUUCGGCCUGGCGGCGAGUGGCGAACGGGUGAGUAAUACAUCGGAACGUGCCCAGUGGUGGGGGAUAGCUCGGCGAAAGCCGGAUUAAUACCGCAUACGACCUGAGGGUGAAAGCGGGGGAUCUUCGGACCUCGCGCUAUUGGAGCGGCCGAUGGCGGAUUAGCUAGUUGGUGGGGUAAAGGCCUACCAAGGCGACGAUCUGUAGCUGGUCUGAGAGGACGACCAGCCACACUGGGACUGAGACACGGCCCAGACUCCUACGGGAGGCAGCAGUGGGGAAUUUUGGACAAUGGGCGAAAGCCUGAUCCAGCAAUGCCGCGUGUGUGAUGAAGGCCUUCGGGUUGUAAAGCACUUUUGGCGGGAACGAAAAGGACUGUGCCAAUACCACGGUUCGAUGACGGUACCCGCAGAAUAAGCACCGGCUAACUACGUG
rnacentral:rRNA from 1 species